UUCUUUCUUUCUUUUUUUGUAGGUAUGGGGUCUUGUUUUGCCGCCCAGGCUGGGGUGCAGUAGCGUGACGAUGGCUCACUGCAGCCUGGGACUCCUGGGCUGAAAUGAUCCUCCCACCUCAGCCUCCCAAGUAGGUGGGACCACAGGAACAUACCACCACAUCCAGCUAAUAUUUAUUUAUUUUUUGGAGUGACGACAUCACACCAUGUUGCCCAGGCUGGUCUGCAAUUCCUGGCCUCAAGUGAUCCUCCUGCCUUGGCUUCCCAACAUGCCGGAAUUACAGGCGUGACCCACUGCAUCCAGCAUCACCUCGCUUCUCUAUGUUAACCUGUGGCAGUCUGAUACCUGCUCCCAGGCCACCCCCAGUUCUUUUGCAGGCCCCCUCCUUUUCGAAGAUCUUUCUUUCCAUGCUUUUGCCUGACUUCAUGGCUCCUCGCUCCCCGCAUCACGCCGUGGUUGUGCCUGCAUGCGUGAUGAUGUACUGACCACAUUCUGCAGCAAUCACUGUUCGUGAAGCUGCCUCCCCUCCUAGACUGAAAACUCUUCGAAGAUGGGACCAUAUGGUUUCUAUCACCAAAACCAACAUAAUAGCAAAGAGUAGGCAUUUGAUAAGUGUUUAUAAAAGGAAAAUACACAAAUAAUACCUGUCUACCCAAAUAAGUGAUUGUAUUUUUCUGGAUGCAUAUGAUCAAAACCCACAGUGUCUGUGCUUUGUAACCCUGUCCCCAAGCCCUGGGCUCAACAAUACAGCUAACACAACUUACUGCAUUUGAGUGUAAAGGUUAGUGUAUAGCCCUAGGAAAGCAUUUUCACCCACAGUAUGAGUGGUGCAUAUUCACAUCCACUGUGACAGCUCCAUGCAUGUUAUCACUCUGAAGACCUUCCAGUGGGACAAAAUGUGGAGGUGGAAGGCAGUGCUAUUGAUGAUCCCGACCCUGUGUAGGUGUAGGCUAAUGUAGGUGUUUGUGACUUUGUUUAUGAUGAGCUAGUUUACAGAGUCAAAAAAAAAUUAAAUACAGAAAGGCUGAAAGAAUAAAGAUAUAAAGAAAGAAAAUAUUUUUGUACAGCUGUACAAUGUGUUUGCAUUUUAAGCUAAGUGUAAUUACGAGUCAUUUUUGUAAUUAAAAAGUUUGACAUUACAGUAAGCAAAGGUUAAUCAUUAUUGAAGGAAGAAAAAGUAUUUCUUAUAAAUUUAGUGUAGCAUGAGUGUCUAGUGUUUAUAAGGGGGUGCACAAUAGCAUGCCAGGCCUCCACAUCCACUCGCCAUUCACUCAGAGACUCACCCCAGCAACUUCCAGUCCUGCUAGCUCCAUUCGUGGUAAGUGCCCUAUAAAAGUGUACCAUUUUCCACUUUUUAUACCAUGUUUUUACUGUACCUUUUCUCUGUUUAUUAUGUUUAGAUACAUAAAUACGUACCAUUAUGU